UCGUUGCCGUUGUCGCUGUCGGAAAGAUGUGAGUUUGGCCCUUCGGCCAUCGGAGUCACGUGUAACCGACGUGAUACGCAGCGUUAUUGUACGUGCUUUGCGUUGGUUUGUCAGUAUGGGAACUCCGAAGGCACGACCUAGCAGCGUGUUGAAUGGCGCUGGUUGGUGCAUUUGGGUAGUUCAAGGUCAGCUAGGAGUUUGUACGGUUGCGGUGGUCAAACCUGAUGGCGCUGUCGAGCAACGCAGCCAGCGUGGAAGCCCCCGAGCGGCCGUAUGACCUUGGCGUCAGUGGCGAGUCAUCACUAAAAGCGUCCUGCAAACAGACCCCUAGUACUUCCGAAAAAAAGUGGGAGACAUCGCUUCUGCAGCAUCGCUGUUGACCUAUCAGAUGCUGAGGCUGACUGCGGCCAGGAACCAACAGGGAUGACAAUGGUACGACCACGUUGGCACGGUUACGGCCUUACAUUCAGUACGACCAACGUAUUUGGGAAGAGGCAAUCAGAAAGACCGCAGCACCCAGCAGCACCCAGCAGCAGCCGGAAAGUGAAAGUAAAAGGCAAAGAAAGCAUGGCUUUGAAAAAAAGCUACGCCUAAAAUAUAUUUUCAGCAUACGACGGUGUGGGCUUGAUUCAAUGCAAGAGCUGACAAGAGAAAUUCUGCAAGCGCGCUUCCCCCCGCAUCUCAUUUGAUUCGCAC